rnacentral:rRNA from 1 species
AUGAAAAUCCUAGGCUGGAACUGCCGUGGCAUGCUCUCCUCCACGGCAGUUCGCGAGCUCUUGGAUUUACAAGGGCGCAUCAAGGCAGAUUUGAUUUUUCUUUCUGGGUCUCAUUUGAAUAAAUGUAAAGCCGAUGAGCUGCGUAGUGUUCUAAGUUUUGAGUCGAUGUUUGUAGCUGAGAGUGAUGGUCGGGCCGGUGGCCUUGUUUUAUUUUAUAAUGAGAUGAAUAAAGUCGUCUUGAACUAUGUGUCCGCUAAUUUCAUUGAUGUUUUGUUUAUGAAUGAGGAAACUGUACAAUGA